rnacentral:rRNA from 1 species
GACGAACCUUGCUAACGUUAUUCGGAAUUACUGGGCGUAAAGGGCUCGUAGGCGGCCAACUAAGUCAGACGUGAAAUCCCUCGGCUUAACCGGGGAACUGCGUCUGAUACUGGAUGGCUUGGAUUUGGGAGAGGGAUGCGGAAUUCCAGGUGUAGCGGUGAAAUGCGUAGAUAUCUGGAGGAACACCGGUGGCGAAGGCGGCAUCCUGGACCAACAUUGACGCUGAGGAGCGAAAGCCAGGGGAGCAAACGGG